UGGGGAAUAUUGGGCAAUGGGCGCAAGCCUGACCCAGCAACGCCGCGUGAAGGAAGAAGGCCUUCGGGUUGUAAACCUCUGUCCUUAGGGACGAAAAAAAUGACGGUACCUAAGGAGGAAGCUCCGGCUACCUACGUGCCAGCAGCCGCGGUAAUACGUAGGGAGCAAGCGUUGUCCGGAAUUACUGGGCGUAAAGGGUGCGUAGGUGGCCAUGCAAGUCAGAUGUGAAAUCCCCGGGCUUAACUCGGGUGCUGCAUUUGAAACUGCGUGGCUUGAGUGCAGGAGAGGAAAGCGGAAUUCCUAGUGUAGCGGUGAAAUGCGUAGAUAUUAGGAGGAACACCAGUGGCGAAGGCGGCUUUCUGGACUGUAACUGACACUGAGGCACGAAAGCGUGGGGAGCAAACA
rnacentral:rRNA from 1 species